rnacentral:lncRNA from 1 species
GACCAUGACAGCAAAGUCCUUCUGAAGAGUCAUUCAGUGAAGACUUGGGGGUUGGCAAAGUAGUCAGUUCUGUUUUUGCCCUCUCCUAAUAGUUCAAUGAGUUAAAGGAAAAGAAUGUUUUCACAGAAAAAAAAAAAAGUAUGUUUGUUUGCUUGAAGGAGAUCUGUCUAGCCUUACCUCAUAUCACUUCCCUUCUGGUGAAUCUGAUGGUGAAAUAAGUUUAUUCCUAAGAGAGCUCCCUAAUGCAAUUAAAGUGGGCGUGGCUUCUGCGGGUUUCAUGGCAGGAUGCAUCAGGAAUAUAGAAACUUGGAGACAAAUGUCCUGUGGUUAUUGUUAUGGUCUGAAUGUUUCUACACCCCCAAAUUCAUAUGCUGCCAUUCUAACCCAAGGUGAUGGUAUUAGACGGGGUGUCUUUCGGCAGUGAGGGCAUAAUGCACUUAGGAAGAGACUCAGAGAACUAGCUAGCCCUUUCCACCAUGUGAGAGUGCAACAAGGAACAGACUCUCACCAGACACCAAAUCUGCUGGCCCCUUGAUCUGGGACUUCUCAGUCUCCAGAACUCUGAGAAAUAAAUGCCAAUUGUUUAGAAACUACCAAUUUCAUGGUAUUUUGUUACAGCAACCUGAACAGACUAAGACAGUUACUGAAAAACCCCACUUUAAAUAUGUGAGCAUGGGAGCCCACAUUGCUGGACAGCCUCAUGGUAAAGCUAUCAAAUCCUGCUCUUGGCAUAUUUUGCAGUAGUGUUGUGCCCAGGGAGGGGGGCAGUCAGUCCUGGGGGACGGGCAAUAAGGAGGUGAACUGCUGGCCGAGAACAUAAACACAAUCAUUAUUAAAUUGAUUACAUGUAGUGUGCUUUUUAUUAUUACCAUGUGCCAGCAAUCCUAAACUAUGUCAAUGAUAGAACACCUUCCCAUAAGAAAUAAUUUUUUGUUCUAACUGGUCUAAUUGUUACAGUUAGUGUUACAGUUAGCGUUGAGAGUGUUUUUCCAUUUUUUUUUACUGUGAUAAAAUAUGAUUACCAUUUUAGCCAUGGUUAAGUGUACAGUUCAGUGGCAUGAAACACAUUAAUGUUUAGUUUUAAUAAAAUAUUUGUUAGCUUCAUUUUUUUUUUACAUUUCACAUACAUGAAAUAAGCCAAUCACAAAAAGAUAAAUACUACACAAUUCCACUUAAAUGAGGUUAUCUACAGUGAUCAAAUUCUUAGAAACAAAAAGUAGAAUGGUGGUUACUCCGGACUGGAGGAAGCAGGAAAUGAGAAAUUGUUCAGUGGAUACAGAUUGAGUAUCCUCUCUGAAGAUUUGUAUAUUUAAAAUUUUUUUCUUUAUCUGAUUGAGUUGAUUUGAAGAAUCAGUUUUUGAGCUCUGAGAUUCCACAGCUUGAUCUAUUCCUCUGUUAAUGCUUCCAACACUAUUAUGAAAAUUUUGUAGUGAAUUUUUAAAUUCCAGUUCAGUUUGGUUCUUUUUAAAAAUGGCUAUUUUGUCUUUCAAUUUUUGGGUCAUUUUUACUGGAUUCCUUGGAUUGGGUUUCUACUUCCUCUUGAAUCUUGAUGAGCUUCUUUGGUAUCCAGAUUCUGAAUUCUAUGUCUGUCAUUCCGGACAUUUCAGUCCUUGCUGAGGGGCUAGUAUGCUUAUUUGACGUUUUGAAUUGCCAGAGUUCUUGUGCUGACUCUUUUGAGAGGGCUGGUGUUCCUUUGUCGUCUUGUUUUUAUAUUAUUCAUUUACCUUGAGGGCUUAACUGUGGUAUAUGUUGAGUAUAGUCAAUUGGCUUCAUUUCUGGAUACUUUCAGAGGGCCAAGGCUCUGUAUGGGAUCUUUGUGGCUAGAUUCUUGCUCUGGGUUUUACAGGUGCUCUAUACUGGCAGAAUAUUUUGAAAUUGUAAUUUCGGCGGCAAACCAGUAGAUGGCGCUUAAGAGUAAUUGCCGGCAGGCUCUGACUCAGCGCUGGCUCUUUGGUAUUUUGUAUUCGCAGUCAUGCUCCAUAGUUCAGGGGAGAGAGAUGAUCCUUUUGCCAAGUCCUCUCCUGGCCCUUAGAGGAGCCCCCUCCAAUCACUGGAGCUGCACUUACGUUUCCUUUGUUAGGUGUUCGGAGCUGUGGGGGCUCUCUCCGGCAGAGGCUAAGGCUUGCAGACAGGCCGCAACCCUUCCCUGAAAGGCCCUGAGAGAGACAAGUCUCAUCCCGCGCUGGCCCACGAACUGCUUCUCACUCCUCCCAGUGUUCUGAGUGGAGGCUCCUCCCCCGCGCUUGCGCACCAGCCACAGGUCUCAGCUGGGCACUCCUGAGCUCUGUGCUGCAACCUUGGGGCAUUGGGCUCUGUCUUUCGGCCCCUCGGGGUCAGACCCCUGCUGUGUUGGGGGAUCCGAAGUGCUCCCAAGCUGCCUGGAAAGCAUUCAGGCGGGGUCGCUAGCAAGAACUCAGGCUGGGCAGCGGAGGCGGCACAGUGCACACACUCCUGCAGGAACAACCAGACAGGGGCUUUGGGAGGGGCUGCGUGCAGGGGGUCCCGCAGAACAUAUGCGCCCCAGUCCCGCAGGAAGGACCGCCCUGCUCUCUCUUGGCUCACUGGUGGGGACAGCACUUCCUGGAAUAACGUUGCUUUGGAUUUAACAACAGUUGGGCAAAGGAGGUCGGUAUACAGAUACAGGACAAGAAGAGUGGUGUCAAAGGGAGGCUAAAUCAUUGGUUCUGGCUUCAUCUAAGGAAUUCUUAUGAGAAAUCGAGGGAGAGACUGUCCUGGGAAGUCUGAUGAAACAUGAUCAAGAUAUUUUAACUUCUGUGUUUAGCGCCUUUAAUAGAUUGAGCUAAGAAGUCUAAGCAAUCUUCAGGGCUAAGAAACAAGCUGCACUUGCCAGAGUUGGAUGUUCACACCUUGGUGAUGGCUGAUAUUAAACAGAAUUCUUAAUGAACAAAUCGGCCUUGAAAAGGGAACAUGGUGAAGCAAGACAAAAGAAUUACAAACUUUGACUGAAACUUUCUCCUACCAGGAAUACAGGGACCGCUCACCAGGUUGUGAUGAGAAGGAUCAUCUGAAAUGCUCCAUUGCUCUCAGAAGUUGAGGUAACUUCAUUGGGCCCAAACUGAUAAACUAGGAAUGGCUCAGAAAAUAGCCCCUUAGAAGAACUGUAUGAAGCUUGGAUCCAUUUUUCUGUUUCACUGACCCUUCUUAACCGCUAGUGGCUCAGAGGUCUGGUGAGGUGGUGAGAGCUGUCCUAGAUGACAUGCACCUGGAGCCCAAAUGUGGGAGAAAAAAGAAAAAUCCCUCCAAUGAUUUGGUGAGGAGUUGAAGACAAAUAUCUUUAUUAUUUAUAAGUAUUCUGGCCAAGACAAUGAGUGUUGGAGUGGGAGGAUGAGGGAAUUUUAUGAUGAACGACAGCACAGCAAGAUGGACAGUAAGGCUCUGUCAUUGCCAUACCAGAUGUACAGAAGUGGCAUUUCAACUAAGGACACUGAAUAUGAAACAGACCUUGGAAAAGAGAGGAUGGAGUUAACUCUGAGAACAGAAAUCACCUACCUCUCUCCUCCCUAAACACACAGCUUACUGUCUAUAAUAAUAUACCCUUACUGGUCCAUUGUCCUCAUUAACAUAACUACAAUUCCAGGAGACUCUUGCCCAGGCAAAUUGCUUUAUUGUUCAUUACAGAGAGUUUUUGAAACAAAGAACCAUCAAUGCUUCAACAGAAAGCAUCAACAGUUUAUACCCCAAGAUCUUAGAACUCCUCACUUCCAAAUCCUCACUAUGCUAAUCCUAAACUAUUAUGUCAUGAUUUUUACCUAAACAAGACCCUGCAUGGAAAGAUCCUCUUUAUACAAUCUUUCAUUUUUUUGUCCUGGCUUUAAAAUGCAAAGCCCAUAUCCUUGGAAUUCCCUCUGUCUUGGGCAAAGUGUGACAGUUGGCCACCCUACUCCAAAAUCUCAUAAUUUUCCCACCUUGCCCCUCUAGAGACUAUCAAUCUCUGUUGAGGUGGUUCUCUCUUUCCAGGGUGAGCAAUAAACUCCUUGCCAGAGCUUUCCAUUGGGGGAGGAGGGUUUGAACUACUGCCAGAGACAAACAGAUGUAAACUAGAUGCAGGAGUUUGGAAAUUGAGCAGGGUUUGCAGUCUGGAAAAUUGCUCCACAAGAGACUGUCGUUGAACGAGUAGUCCUGAGUGAGUGGUCUAAGAGAACGUCAGAGUGAAAGAAAAUGCAGCCCACCUGGGUCAGCUGAAAAGGUAGAGAAUAAAAGGGAAAUGAAAUGCAGCUGCUAGUAACAGUUGAUUAAAUGAGGCUGGCAACUUACAUGGAGGCUGGAAGAGGAGAAAUGUGGGAGAGGCAGCAAGGAGAGAGAAGGAAACAUGAAGGAGGAGAAGAUUUCUAGAAGGAAAUGUAAGAGCUACAAAGGAGAAAGAUGAAUGAGAGACCCCACAAGAAAACAGCAGGGAAAAGAAGCUGCUUUCUGAGUUGAUGGUUGUUUCUAGUUUGGGGCUAUUAUGAAGAAAGCUGCUAUGAAGAACAUCCAUGUACAAAUCAUUUUAUGGACACACAUACUCAUUGCUCUUGGGUAAAUAUCUAGGAAUAUGAUUUAUGGAUCAUAG